rnacentral:rRNA from 1 species
GACGAACGCUGGCGGCGUGCUUAACACAUGCAAGUCGAACGGAAAGGCCCUGCUUUUGUUGGGUUCUCGAGUGGCGAACGGGUGAGUAACACGUGAGUAACCUGCCCUUGACUUUGGGAUAACUUCAGGAAACUGGGGCUAAUACCGGAUAGGAGCUCCUGCUGCAUGGUGGGGGUUGGAAAGUUUCGGCGGUUGGGGAUGGACUCGCGGCUUAUCAGCUUGUUGGUGGGGUAGGGGCUUUCCAAGGCUUUGACGGGUAGCCGGCCUGAGAGGGUGAACGGCCACAUUGGGACUGAGAUACGGCCCAGACUCCUACGGGAGGCAGCAGUGGGGAAUAUUGCACAACGGGCGGAAGCCUGAGGCAGCAACGCCGGGUGCGGGAUGACGGCCUUCGGGUUGUAAACCGAUUUCGCCUGUGACGAAGCGUGAGUGACGGUAAUGGGUAAAGAAGCACCGGCUAACUACGUG